AACGAACGCUGGCGGCAUGCCUAACACAUGCAAGUCGAACGGGAUCCUAGCUUGCUAGGUGAGAGUGGCGGACGGGUGAGUAACACGUGGGAACCUGCCUUUUGGUUCGGGAUAACCGCGGGAAACUGCGGCUAAUACCGGAUGUACCCGAGAGGGGAAAGAUUUAUCGCCAGAAGAGGGGCCCGCGUCCGAUUAGGUAGUUGGUGGGGUAAAGGCCUACCAAGCCGACGAUCGGUAGCUGGUCUGAGAGGAUGAUCAGCCACACUGGGACUGAGAUACGGCCCAGACUCCUACGGGAGGCAGCAGUGGGGAAUAUUGCGCAAUGGGGGAAACCCCGACGCAGCAACGCCGCGUGGAGGAUGAAGGUCUUCGGAUUGUAAACUCCUUUUCUCGGGGAAGAGCAAGGACGGUACCUGAGGAAUCAGUCACGGCUAACUACGUGCCAGCAGCCGCAGUAAUAC
rnacentral:rRNA from 1 species